rnacentral:snoRNA from 1 species
ACCGUAACUUUAAAAGCAUCUUAAACUACAAGCAAGUGAAGGCUUCUUACAUUAAAAAAAAACCCGUAAAAUGCCGCAACUUUCACAGAAAACCAGCUGCAAAUUAUUUAUUUUGUCGUGACAGAAAAGUAUCCCAGAGAUACAACA